rnacentral:rRNA from 1 species
UACGAAGGGGGCUAGCGUUGUUCGGAUUUACUGGGCGUAAAGCGCACGUAGGCGCCUGAUAAGUCGGGUGUGAAAGCCCUGGGCUCAACCCAGGAAGUGCACUCGAAACUGUCAGGCUUGAAUAUGGAAGAGGGUCGCGGAAUUCCCGGUGUAGAGGUGAAAUUCGUAGAUAUCGGAAGGAACACCAGUGGCGAAAAGCGGCUUCCUGGACCAGCACCGACAUUCAGGCACGAAAAGCGUGGGGAGCAAACAGG